AAAGGAAGAUGUUUGGAAAGGAAAAAUCCCCAGACUCGCCAGCGUUCUCAUAGCGAUGCUAUCAGCCGUCCGUGUCAGCACUCCUGGAGAACCGUUUGUUCUCCUCCCACUCUCGCUGUCCGCGGUGUGUCUCAUGGAAGAGGAUGCGAGGGCUCAGCUAGAACUGACCUGAGUAAUGAAGAGCCUAAACAGAGCUUUCAGAGUUGUUAAGCCUCCCUCGGCGGAGUUAAACCAUCACUAGGACUUGGGCCAUCUGUGGAAAGAUGAGCCGAGCCGUCUGCUCUUAGGCGUUGGUGCCUUCCGUCAUAAAAACUGCAGACUAUCAGAGCUAAAAAAGAAACGCGAAGCUUUUGUCACUUCAGCUCCUUCCCACGACGACACACGGGAAAACUCAGUGCCAGACAGGCGGUGAGUUUCCCAUGGUCACUAGGAAGGGAAAGCACCAGGGUUUGAACCUGUAGCUUUUGACUCCCCUGCACAAAACAGUCGUCUCAUUCGCUGAAGGUGCCGAGCCUUGAGGGAUGAAGACAGAAGGAUGUUCUCACCCAUGUUUACAAGCCCACAGAGGGGAAGCUGCCAUGUCAAGCCCAAAAGGUUUCAGCGCCCCCAGACUCAUAAAAGAAGAGACGACAGCAUCAAGGGCUGGCGGGAGAAGAGAAAGAUCUCCCUGAACUUGGAGAUUCCAGGGGCAGGUGGCAAGCACUUUCCUGUCUCCCAGGGUGAAUGGACGCAGGAAGAUGAUGGCUGUGUCAGGUGCACAAAGAGAAGCACCACACUUCACCCAUAAGUGGGGACCAUGCUUCACCCAUAAGUGGGACCACGCUUCACUCAUAAGCGGGGACCUGAAAACCCUGCAUGCCAGGUGCACGUGCACACACUACUGAGAUUUGGAAGCCAGUUUUUUUCUCAUCACUUCUACAACCCACCAGGUGGACUUUCCCCAUCUGUUCUACUGACUCUAGAUGGAGGCUGUACAUGAUGCAUCCCCUGCAUAAAUACCAGCUUCACCUCAGUUCGGUACUGCAGGACAUACGCUUUAGACGAACCUGCUUAGAAAUCCCUUCCUUUAAAACAGUGGCUGGUAUAUCUUCCAAUGAUGCCUUUCAAGUCCAAAGCAGUAAGUCUAAUACUUUUCCCCCUUUUUAUGAUCCCCACUCUCCUCUGCCUGCCCCCACCCCCAGACAACCUCAUAUAUAGACUAAACUGGCCCAGUUCACUAGGUAGCUGAGGCUGACCUUUGAACUUCUGAUCCUCUGAAGUGCAAGGAUUAAACACGUGCCUGAUUGGUUUCUGUAGUAUGAGGACCAAACCUGCGAGGCAAAUACCCUAGCCUGUAUUUUCUUUAUCAUCUAAUGAAGCUGAUCAGUUGCCUUUAACGGUUGUGGACAAAAUAUAACUGCCUGAAGUCAAAGUAAGUCUUGUUUACUUUAAGCAACAAAAGUAAAGCUAUGACUUACUCCAUAAAAAAAGUGAAGUUAUGCUUUAGAACACCCACUUGGGGUUGGGGGUAUGGCAUAGGGAAAUGAAUGCAGUCCUGAGGGUAUCCUACAUAGACAUAAUUUGGGAAGAAAACCUAGAAACUAGAAUGACAUCAUAGCAGGGGGUGAGAAACGUGGCUUUCUCCUCAGAUCAGGUUCUUGGAGAAGCUUCAUACACACUGCUGAUAAAUUUCCUCAAGAUUACAGGUGUUCCCCGAUUAUCUAAGGGACCCCAGAGUUCUGGCAAGGUAGGAAACACAAGCCAUGAGCACACCACAGUCACUAGUGAGAUCUCCUGUCUGGGUCUCAUGCUCACUGAGCCACGAUUGACACUGGCUCUGACAUCCCAGACUCUGAUGCCAUUCAAUCAGUACAGGACAUGCUUUUGUUUCUAGAAGGUGGGUGGUUAGCUGUUAGAAGUACCCCAAAUAUCAAGGAAGAAUACAGAUACCACGUUCCUCAGUUAUCAAGAAACAGGAGGCAAAGAAGCCAAGCCCCCACUCAGCAUCGCCACCUGACUUCACCCAGUCCAGGAAGAGUGGCACUCUGAUGCUGUUCUAAUUAUUAUUGCUUCCUCUAGGCUGAAACAAAGAUAAGAUGGGGGUGGGGCAGAGAGAUGGCUCAACACUAAAUGCACAUAUCACCACGCCUAAUGUUCCACAUCCAGACCCAAACAGUAGGAGAGAGCCAGUUCCCACAAGUCACAAGUCAUCCUGGUGUAGGAGGUCCUUCUGUCUCUAUGUGUUGUUUUUAUUGGUUAAUGAAUAAAGAAGCUGUUUUGGCCAGUGGCUUAGCAGAAUAGAGCUAGGCGGAAAAAUUAAACUGAAUGCUGGGAGAAAGAAGGCAGAGCCAGAGAGAUGCGAGCUGUCAGCUGGAACCUUGCCGGUAGGACACAAGCCUUGUGUUAAAAUAUAAAAUAAUGGAAAUGGGUUAAUUCUAGAUGUAAGGGCUAGCCAGUAACAAGCUAGAGCUAAUAGGGCAAGCAGUGAUUUAAUUAAUACAACUUCUGAGUGGUUAUUUCAGGAGUCUGGGAAGCUGGGACCAAGUAAGAGGCCUCCUACUACACUGUCCUUUGACUUGCACAUAUGUGCCACAGCAUGCACACACACAACCACACACAUGAACAUACAACACAUAUGUAAAAGUAAAAAAGAUUAAUAUGUUUAAGAUGGUCAUCGUAGGGUAGCUUAAAAUAAUUUAAGUCAAAUAGCCCAGUGAUGGGAUACUAAGGAGUCUAAAGCUGGGUGGUUUAAAAGGAUAGGAGAAGGAAUUUGUUUGUUUGUUAUGGAACUGGAAAACUAAACAAAACACCCAGAGGUUAUAGACUUUUUAAGUGUAGUCUGUCCUGAAAGUUUUGAAAUAAGCAUAGGAGAAAGAGAUCAGAGUAAAUAGGGGCAACUUUGUGCUCACAGUAACAUACUCUGCGGCAAGAUUUAUAAUCCAGUGCAGCUCUGAACCAGGUCACCCACAGAGUGGGUCUCAACACUUUGAUUGGGUUACCUUGUUCAACAAUGUGCUGUAGGUCAAAAAUCCCAUUUUAUUUUCCCUAACAAAACGGCGUGUGUAUGUCAGAUGGCAAGCUUUGGUUUCUAUCAAAUGGGCAGCAGGCUUCACUACUGACUCCUUCAGAGCUGACCAAUAAAGCAAAGUAAAUAAGCAGAAUAAUUAAUUACAUGACAACUUUACCCAAGAUACUGCGAUCAUAAGACUCUAUCGAUCACACUUACAAUGUCUACCACUGCCAGGGACACUUGAAAAAGGACAUACACUUGCAGGCAUUUUAUUUUCUUUCUUCACUUUAUAUUAUUUUUUUUUUAUAUUUUCACCCUCAACUCCCAAUCCUCCUGCAUCAUCUUCCCGGGUACUGGAAUUACAGACAUGGACUACCAAGUCUGGCUCUUCUAUUUUCUUGGCAGGCAUCUUGAGACAUUUUUAGUAGAUUUACCACCUAUCGCUUGACUUUUAGAAAUACUGACACUGGCCAUCUAGUUUCCUACACAUUUUUUUUUCUCACUUGACAUUUCAUAAUAGCAAGAGAAGGUAUGAAUUCUCACCUCCCUCUGUCUGACGUGACAGCUAAAUGGCCUGCCACCUCCCUGGCCUGUCACCUCCCUAGUCUGCCGCCAGCUCCCCAUUGCCUUCACCAUUUCCUCCUGGAAACAUGAGAUGCUGUCCUUUCAAAAUAUAAGGACAGACUGACUCUCACCUUCUGAGUAUUCUGCCCUUUGACUCUUACAGUGUCUUUACUUCUGUAUGGUAAACAUGCAUCAAAGCUUUUGGUUUAUUUGUGACACAAAUAUUUCAGAAACAAAGUCUAACGUUUCUCUACUGGAAGAGCCCAGGGCUCAGAUGCUGCUUGCUUUAAAUGGGUGGGUGGUGGCAGUUCUCUGAGGGCCAUUUCCUGCAUUAGCCAUUUUGGUAAAUUCUGGAGUAAGACAGAUCAGACCCAUGAACAGAAAAGGGUUUAUGCAUAUAAAAUCUAUCUAAUCUCUGCUAUCUUCAGUAUCAAUCCAUUUUUUUGAUCAAAAUGUCCACGGAAUCGAGUUUGAAGGCAGCAUUAUCCCUAUAAAAGGAUACAUUCUACUACUUCCAAUAGGGGUUCUUUCCUCUUCCGGAGGGGUCAUUCAUAUAGCUGGAGCCUGAGAGGAAGAGAAGGCCUGUAGGGCCAGAGUAAUACUAGAAGCUAGGGGAGGCCUUCUAUCUUUAUUUGCUUUCUGUUGCUGAGCUAGAAUACCAUGGCCAAAGACAACUUGGGGAACAAAGGGUUUAUUUCAUCUUACACACACCUCUAGGGUCACACUGUCACUGAGGGAAGCCAGGGCAGGAACCUAGAAGCAGGAACUGAGCCAGAGGCCAUGGAGAAAUGCUACUUACUGGAUUGUUCAGCCUGCUU